rnacentral:rRNA from 1 species
ACGGGAGGCAGCAGUGGGGAAUAUUGGGCAAUGGGCGCAAGCCUGACCCAGCAACGCCGCGUGAAGGAUGAAGGUCUUCGGAUUGUAAACUUCUUUGAUUGGGGAAGAAUAAAUGACCUACCCAAAGAACAAGUCACGGCUAACUACGUGCCAGCAGCCGCGGUAAUACGUAGGUGACAAGCGUUAUCCGGAUUUACUGGGUGUAAAGGGCGUGUAGGCGGUUCUGUAAGUCAGAAGUGAAAUUCCCGGGCUCAACCUGGGCGCUGCUUCUGAAACUACAGAACUUGAGUACUGGAGGGGAAAGCGGAAUUCCUAGUGUAGCGGUAAAAUGCGUAGAUAUUAGGAGGAACACCAGUGGCGAAGGCGGCUUUCUGGACUGACAAUGACGCUGAGGCUCGAAAGCGUGGGGAGCAAACAGGAUUAGAUACCCUGGUA